rnacentral:rRNA from 1 species
GAUGAACGCUGGCGGCGUGCUUAACACAUGCAAGUCGAACGAAGCACCUUGAUUUGAUUCUUCGGAUGAAGAUCCUGGUGACUGAGUGGCGGACGGGUGAGUAACGCGUGGGUAACCUGCCUCAUACAGGGGGAUAACAGUUAGAAAUGACUGCUAAUACCGCAUAAGACCACAGCACCGCAUGGUGCAGGGGUAAAAACUCCGGUGGUGUGAGAUGGACCCGCGUCUGAUUAGGUAGUUGGUGGGGUAACGGCCUACCAAGCCGACGAUCAGUAGCCGACCUGAGAGGGUGACCGGCCACAUUGGGACUGAGACACGGCCCAAACUCCUACGGGAGGCAGCAGUGGGGAAUAUUGCACAAUGGGGGGAAACCCUGAUGCAGCGACGCCGCGUGAGCGAUGAAGUAUUUCGGUAUGUAAAGCUCUAUCAGCAGGGAAGAAAAUGACGGUACCUGACUAAGAAGCACCGGCUAAAUACGUGCCAGCCGCCGCAGUAA